AUGUCAAAAAACGAAACAAAACUAAGAUACAAAAAUAAAGAAAAACAAAGCACAAACGUUUCUGCUGAGUCUCACUCACCACGUUGGGGUCUUGUUCUAGACAGAAUUUCUGUUAUCCAAACUGCAAGAGUCAGAAAAAUGCCUAAAAGAGCAAUAAGGCAAGGAAGACGAAUGUUCAGGAGCUCUCGGUAUUUCUGUGGAGCCAGGAGAGAGCAACAGUACACAAGCUGCAUGGGAGACUGCUGUUGGAAGAAGGAAGUUGAGUAUGAGAGCUCGAGGCUCUUGUCAACUGGAAAAUGGUGGCUACCAGCACAGCUUCCUGGAGUUCAGGGAGCAAUUAGUUUUGCAUUAGACAGUUUUGAGUUUUAAACAGGAAUACAAAAGCAACUGCCCCCUCUGAGGCUCGAACUCAGGACCUUCAGAUUAUGAGACUGACGCGCUGCCUACUGUGCUAAGGAGGCAAGUGAAAGCGGUGUUGCGACACAUUAUUUUAGUAACAAAUUAUGUUUUGUC
rnacentral:tRNA from 1 species